AGAGUUUGAUCCUGGCUCAGGACGAACGCUGACGGUGUGCUUUAGGCAUGCAAGUCGAACGAGAAAGCCCUUCGGGGUGAGUAAAGUGGCGAACGGGUGAGUAACACGUGGGCAACCUGCCCCUCGCAGGGGGACAACCGGAGGAAACUCCGGCUAAUACCCCGUACGCUCCACGCAUCGCAUGUUGUGUGGAGGAAAGGUAGCUUCGGCCAUCCGGCGAGGGAUGGGCCCGCGGUGCAUUAGCUAGUUGGUGGGGUAACGGCCCACCAAGGCAACGAUGCGUAGCUGGUCUGAGAGGACGAUCAGCCACACUGGGACUGAGACACGGCCCAGACUCCUACGGGAGGCAGCAGCCAGGAAUCUUGGGCAAUGGGCGAAAGCCUGACCCAGCAACACCGUGUGGGCGAUGAAGGCCUUAGGGUCGUAAAGCCCUGUUGAUAGGGACGAAGGGCGAAGGGUUAAUAGCCCCUAGCUUGACGGUACCUUUCGAGGAAGCCCCGGCUAACUACGUGCCAGCAGCCGCGGUAAUACGUAGGGGGCGAGCGUUAUCCGGAAUGAUUGGGCGUAAAGCGUCCGCAGGUGGCUUAUCAAGUCGAUUGUCAAAGGUCCUGGCUCAACUGGGAACAGGCAGUGGAAACUGAAAAGCUAGAGUGCGGUAGGGGUAGAGGGAAUUCCCGGUGUAGCGGUGAAAUGCGCAGAUAUCGGGAGGAACACCAGUAGCGAAGGCGGCUCGCUGGGCCACACCUGACGCUGAGACGCGAAAGCUAGGGGAGCGAACAGGAUUAGAUACCCCCGUAGUCC
rnacentral:rRNA from 1 species